rnacentral:lncRNA from 10 species
GCGAGAUGAAACCCCCGGUGUUGGUAUUGUCCUACCUGGCAGCUCUCUUAGCUCUCUCUUCAGAAUUCAAUCAACUUCCUGUAGAUGAACUUUCCAGCAAAAGCUGUUCCUACCCAGUUUGCAAGGCCCAGUCAGCUUGUACUCUCAGAGGGCCAGCACUCCACUCUGAUGGAAAUCUGCCUGUGAUGCCAGCCUGGGGAGUGCCCUUCACACGUGAUCUCAUCUAAGCCUGGCUUGACAGGUAUGUAUUGUAUCAUCAUCCCAUUUCACAGAUGUGGAAACUGAGACCAGUGAGGUAAAGCAACUGGUCAACAUCACAUGGUUAGUAAGUAUCAGAGUCCGGAUUUGAGCCAGAUCUGGUUCCAGAAUCUACAUGCCUAAACACUAUGUGCUGGGGCCUCUACAGCACUGCCCAUGCCUCUAGGGUACUUGACAGGUCAAGUCUAACCCUGAAAGAGCUGCUCUAGGCCUGACCCACUCCCAGUCCAUCCAAACAGUCUGUCAAGCUCAGGCCAGGGCACUGUAAGGGAGAGGAGACUCCACUGGCCUGGCCCUACCUUAUUUAGAAGAGUGAUACAGGAAACCCAAGGCAGUGAGGAGCUUCAGGAAGCAGUGUUACAUCUGUCCCCACCUUAACUACACUGGACAUAAAGCCUCUUGCUAUUGGCCUGGACCUGAGACACCCAUGUGGUGGAUAGAGAUGGAGACAGAGUCAUUCAUUCAUUUAACAAACCCUACUCCGAACCAAAUGUGGUUCCUGCACUCAUGUAACUUAUAAUGCAACAGAUGAAUAAUCAGAAGUACACAAUGCUGUCCAGACAUGGUGGCUCAGGCCUGUAAUCCCAGCACUUGGGAGGCUGAGGUGGGCAGAUCACCUGAGGUCAGGAGUUCAAGACCAGCCUGGCCAAUAUGGUGAAACCCCGUUUCUACUAAAAAACACAAAAAAUCAUCUGGGCAUCAUGGCACAUGCCUAUAAUCCCAGCUACUCAGGGGGCUGAGGCAGGAGAAUUGCUCGUACAGCGAGACUCCAUCUCAAAAAAAAAAAAAAAAGGAAGAAGAGGAAGAAGAAGAAGAAGACCACAGUGCUUUGGGAGCUGUAUUCUUUAUUACUCUUUUUUUUUUUUUUACAGUUUUAUCACCUUACCAAUAGCACAACAUUCUCCCUUCAGAUUAAAACAAGCUUAAUGCUAUUUCAGGAGCACUGUGGGCCAACCAAGUUUAACAAAGAUAGCAUUGCUCAGCACAGAAGUUCAAGCAACUUAAAAAUUAGAACUUACCAAUGCAUUCCCAGAACCUCUGCCUCCUCUCCCCUACCCUACUCCCAAUCUUUUUAACUCAGGGGGCUCAGAUAAGAAAGACUCUUGCUAGGUGGGUGCAUCUGAGGGCUGAGAGGUGAGCUUUUCCUUGGACGCAGGGCAACCUGGGAACUGAGAAGGGUUAACUGCAUGGAGGGAGAUAAACCUGGGGACUUCUUGAGCCAGUGGCCAGAGCCACUCACCACCUCACACAAGCCACCCUUGCUGACCAUCUUCCUGGAGAGAGAAGAGGAAUGGGUUAAGGAUGUCACAACUCACCUUCCUCUGGACUAAGCAGUCACCAUGGGAUGUCCUGCUGGGCUGUGACUAUGUCUAGGAGUUAUACAGCUCAGCUCUUCAAAUGAAAGAUCUAAAGUUAGGGCAAACUUUAGAGGAAUAUUUAUCGAAUCCCUUACCUAGCAGAUGAAAGAAAAGAAGAGGCCAGGCAUGGUGGCUCAUGCCUGUAAUCCCAGCACUUUGGAAAGCUGAGGUGGGUGGAUCACUUGAGGUCAGGAGUUCAAGACCAGCAUGGCCAACAUGGUGAAACUCCGUCUCUACCAAAAAUACAAAAAUUAGCUGGGUGUGGUGGCACACGCCUGUAAUCCCAGUUACUUGGGAGGCUGAGGCCAGAGAAUUCUUGAACCCAGGAGGUGGAGGUUACAGUGAACCGAGAUCACACCACUGCACUCCAACCUGGGCGACAGAGCAAGACUCUGUCUCAAAAAUAGAAAAAAGAAAG